GGAGGCAGCAGUGGGGAAUAUUGCACAAUGGGCGAAAGCCUGAUGCAGCAACGCCGCGUGAGGGACGACGGCCUUCGGGUUGUAAACCUCUUUUAGCAGGGAAGAAGCGAAAGUGACGGUACCUGCAGAAAAAGCGCCGGCUAACUACGUGCCAGCAGCCGCGGUAAUACGUAGGGCGCAAGCGUUAUCCGGAAUUAUUGGGCGUAAAGAGCUCGUAGGCGGUUUGUCGCGUCUGCUGUGAAACCCCGAGGCUCAACCUCGGGCCUGCAGUGGGUACGGGCAGACUAGAGUGCGGUAGAGGAGAUUGGAAUUCCUGGUGUAGCGGUGGAAUGCGCAGAUAUCAGGAGGAACACCGAUGGCGAAGGCAGAUCUCUGGGCCGUAACUGACGCUGAGGAGCGAAAGGGUGGGGAGCAAACAGGCUUAGAUACCCUGGUAGUCCACCCCGUAAACGUUGGGAACUAGUUGUGGGGUCCAUUCCACGGAUUCCGUGACGCAGCUAACGCAUUAAGUUCCCCGCCUGGGGAGUACGGCCGCAAGGCUAAAACUCAAAGGAAUUGACGGGGACCCGCACAAGCGGCGGAGCAUGCGGAUUAAUUCGAUGCAACGCGAAGAACCUUACCAAGGCUUGACAUAUACGAGAACGGGCCAGAAAUGGUCAACUCUUUGGACACUCGUAAACAGGUGGUGCAUGGUUGUCGUCAGCUCGUGUCGUGAGAUGUUGGGUUAAGUCCCGCAACGAGCGCAACCCUCGUUCUAUGUUGCCAGCACGUAAUGGUGGGAACUCAUGGAAUACUGCCGGGGUCAACUCGGAGGAAGGUGAGGAUGACGUCAAAUCAUCAUGCCCCUUAUGUCUUGGGCUUCACGCAUGCUACAAUGGCCGGUACAAUGGGCUGCAAUACCGCAAGGUGGAGCGAAUCCCAAAAAGCCGGUCCCAGUUCGGAUUGAGGUCUGCAACUCGACCUCAUGAAGUCGGAGUCGCUAGUAAUCGCAGAUCAGCAACGCUGCGGUGAAUACGUUCCCGGGUCUUGUACACACCGCCCGUCAAGUCAUGAAAGUCGGUAACACCUGAAGCCGGUGGCCCAACCC
rnacentral:rRNA from 1 species